CAGCCGCCACGGGAAUACAGAGGAUGCAAGCGUUAUCCGGAAUGAUCGGGCGUAAAGCGUCUGUAGGUGGCUUUUCAAGUCCGCCGUCAAAUCCCAGGGCUCAGCCCUGGACAGGCGGUGGAAACUACCAAGCUGGAGUACGGUAGGGGCAGAGGGAAUUUCCAGUGGGCGGUGAAAUGCGUUGAGAUCGAAAAGAACACCAACAGCGAAAGCACUCUGCUGGGACGACACUGACACUAAGAGACGAAAGCUAGGGGAGCAAAUGGGAUUAGAUACCCCGGUAGUCCCUGUCUCUUAUACA
rnacentral:rRNA from 1 species